GUGUAAGUGUGUUUAACUGUGCAGGCAACAAUUUAGAAGUAGCAGAGUGUGGGUGUAAUCGUGUGGGGAGCAGCAUGUGUUGCAGUGUAUGUGUUCCUAUAAUUUUGUCCUCAGUCCUCCCCUUUUUUCUGCCUAUCCUCUGCCCUCUCACUGAAUAUGCUGUGUUGAGUUCCAUGUAUUAUUAUUAUUAUUGGUUAUUAUUUAUAUAGCGCCAGCUUAUUCUGCAGCGCUUUACAAUAAGAGGAGAAUUUACCAAAUGAGUCAAUACCAAAAUGUAACAGGAACAAUAGGUAGUUGAGGACCCUGCU